CUGCUGCCUCCCGUAGGAGUCUGGUCCGUGUCUCAGUACCAGUGUGGGGGACCUUCCUCUCAGAACCCCUAUCCAUCGUUGUCUUGGUGGGCCGUUACCCCGCCAACUAACUAAUGGAACGCAUCCCCAUCCCAUACCGAAAUUCUUUAAUAAUCCCAUCAUGCGGUAGGACUAUAACAUCGGGUAUUAAUCUUUCUUUCGAAAGGCUAUCCCCGAGUAUGAGGCAGGUUGGAUACGUGUUACUCACCCGUGCGCCGGUCGCCAUCAAAAG
rnacentral:rRNA from 1 species